AAAAUUUUAAAAUCUUGAUUGGUUAAAAUGAAUUUUUGGAAAACAAAAACCAAAAUCUCUCUCGAAAUCUGUAAAACAUUCAAGGUUUAUAUUUUACAUAAAUAUGAUUUAACGGGUUUGAGUAUUAUGUUUUUCUUACGGGUUAUCUUACGGGUUAACAAAAAAAUAAAUAACAAAUAUAACUUAAACAUAAUUUUUUUAGUCCCGCGAGUUACAAAAAAAAUAACAAUCAAAAAUAUAAUUACACAAUCUUAAACAUUUCUGAAGUACCUUUUGCAUUUAUUCCAGGGCGUUUAGUAACUGAUAACAUUAUGAUCGCUCAUGAAGUCAUGCAUGCAUUAAAAUCUAGAAAAAGAGUUUCAAAGAAUUAUAUGGCUAUUAAAACAGAUGUCACAAAGGCUUAUGAUAGGGUUGAAUGGGGGUUUUUAGAGGUUACUAUGCAACUGUUUGGUUUCUCUUCUACGUGGAUCAAUUGGAUUAUGGCUUCAGUUCGAUCUGUAAGUUACUCUAUCCUCAUUAAUGGUUCCCCUCAUGGUAUGGUUCUUCCGGAACGUGGUAUUCGACAAGGCGAUCCUCUUUCUCCUUACUUAUUCAUUUUGUGUGCGGAUAUAAUGAGUCAUUUAAUCAACAAAAGAGUUCAAGAUGGCGACAUUCGAGGUAUUAGAAUUGGUAAUGGAGUACCGGCCAUUACACAUCUACAAUUUGCGAACGAUUCUCUUUUCUUUUGUCAAGCAAAUUCUCGGAACUGUAAAGCAAUCAAGGAAGCUUUUGAAGUGUAUGAAUAUUAUUCGGGACAAAAAAUUAAUACUUCAAAGUCCCUUAUAACUUUUGGUUCUAAGGUUCAUGGUCAUCAUCAAAAUCGUUUAAAAAAUAUUUUACAAAUCCCAAAUCAUGGGGGUGGAGGCAAGUACCUUGGACUAGCUGAGCAGUUUGGUAGGAAGAAAAAAGAUAUGUUUAACUACAUUCUACAAAAGGUUAAACAGAGGACAGCUUCUUGGAGUACAACAAAAUUAUCACCGGCUGGAAAAGAAAUUAUGCUUAAGUCUGUUGCUCUUGCAAUGCCCGUAUAUUCUAUGUCUUGUUUCAAAAUUCCAGCGACUAUUAUAAAUGAAAUAGAAUCUGAGUUACAACGUUUCUGGUGGGAAAAAGAAAACCAAGAGAGAGGAAUUCCAUGGGUAGCUUGGAAAAGACUUCAAUACACAAAAAGUGAAGGUGGAUUAGGUUUUAAAAAUUUAUCAAAGUUUAAUGAUGCUCUUUUAGCAAAACAAGCCUGGAGAAUUUAUAAACAUCCAAAUACACUCUUUGCUCGGGUUAUGAAAGCUAGAUACUUUAAAGAUGAUUCGAUUUUAGAGGCUAAGAAGCGUGUUAAUCAAUCCUAUGGGUGGUCUUCUAUUUUAGAAGGUCUUAAACUCAUAAAAUUAGGAACUCGUUAUAUUAUUGGCGAUGGUGAAACUGCUAGAAUUAAUGUUGAUAAUGUUAUUCCCUCUCAUCCCCCUCGACCUAUUCAUGGAGUAAUUAACACUGACACAUGCUACUUUAAAGAUUUAAUAUCUAUUGUUGGUAGUUAUAGAUACUGGGAUUUAGCUAAGGUUUCUGAAAAAAUUCCUUUAAUGGACCAUACUAAUAUUAAAAACAUGUAUUUAUCUAGGAUUUCUACUCCUGAUAAACUUAUAUGGCAUUAUAAUAAGUCGGGGGAUUAUUCUGUUCGUUCGGGAUAUUGGUUAGCUACUCAUGAUCCAUCUUUAAUUAUGGAAAACCCUCCUGUACCCCAUGGUUCCAUUAAGCUAAAAAAUAAAAUCUGGAAACUGAAUAUUCUUCCAAAAAUAAAACAUUUCAUUUGGAGAGUCUUAUCAAAAGCUAUACCAUCUAUAACUCGUCUUAUUAGUCGUGGAAUGCAUUUGGAUCCUAUUUGUCCGCGAUGUUUUCGGGAUGAUGAGACAAUUGAACAUAUUUUUUAUUCUUGUCCCCAUGCCAAGUUAAUUUGGGAUUUUUCACCCUUUCCUUUAAAUCUUUUGUUAGCUUCUUCCUCUAAUUGUGAGAGCUUUAUUGAAGCUUUAUUAUUUUUACAAACAGAUAAUACUUUAACUCAGGAAACAAAGUUAUUUCCAUUUUGGCUUCUUUGGCAUAUCUGGAAAUCUAGGAAUAAUUUCAUUUUUAAUGGUGUUGAGGAAUAUCCUAUUAAUAUUGUUCAACGGGCUAAAGGAGAUGUUCUUGAUUGGUUAACUUAUAACGUUUCUACAACAACUAACCAUGUACAUCAGAGUCCUAAUCAUAAUAUGACUUGGACGCGACCAAAGGAAGACAUUCUUAAAUGUAAUUACGACGCAGCUUUCGAUUAUAACACUAACCAUGUCCACGGAGGCUGGAUUAUUCGUGAUAAAAAUGGUGGUUCUAAUGGAUGGGGAUCUUCUCGUCUGGGACAAGCCUUAUCGCCGUUAGAAGCUGAAGCAAAGGCUCUGCUCGCAGCAAUGCAACAGAGUUGGAUUAAAGGGAUUCGAAAAAUAUGCUUUGAAGGAGAUUGUGAGAUUUUGAAUCGGAUUAUUAAUCAUCAAUUCAUUGAUACCUCUAUAGAAUGUAUUAUUCAAGAUAUUCGUUUUUGGUCUUCUUGUUUUCAGUUCAUAGAUUUCUCUUUCACUCCUAGGAGGUAUAAUAAUGUUGCACAUUUAUUAGCAAAGUUUGGUUGUAUUUCCUCUAGUUUUUUUUCUGAUUGUUUUAAUCCGCCACAAUGGCUUUCUGAACAAUUGUGUAUUGAUUACAUUACUUCAUCUAUAUAAUUCUAUUUUGACGAAAAAAAAAAACCUUUUAUUUUGUAUUAUUUGCAUAAUAAAUCCUUGCCAUUUAAAUAAAUAACAAAAUUUUAAGAUAAAAUUUGUAAUUAAAUUACACUAGAAUCGCAAAAUUAGAAACUAAUAUUUAUUACAUUUAACAAAAUUUCCUAAAAUAUCUCCCUAAUAAAUUGAAUAUCUCUCCAAUAUCUUUAUAUGAUCUUAUUUGUUUUAAAAUUCACAUUAUUACAUAAAACAUAAGUAUAAUAAAAAUACAAAAAAAAUUUCGCAUAUAUAGCAAUUUGAAUUUUUGAAAACGGACAUAUAUUACUCAAUCGAUAAAAGAAAAAACAUAUAUGUAUAACAUCCCACAUCGGGUAUAAAAUUUUAGACAAUUGUUCGGAACCAUUAUAAAUAUGACUAAUAUGAAACUUAAAAAUCCAAAAUCUUGAAUAGAAGAUUACAACAAAAAAAGUUUUACUAAAUUUUAGGGAAUCCAAAAUUUUAAAAUCUUGAUUGGUUAAAAUGAAUUUUUGGAAAACAAAAACCAAGAUCUCUCUCGAAAUCUGUAAAACAUUCAAGGUUUACAUUUUACAUAAAUAUGAUUUAACGGGUUUGAGUAUUAUGUUUUUCUUACGGGUUAUCUUACGGGUUAACAAAAUAAAUAAAUAACAAAUAUAACUUAAACAUAAUUUUUUUAGUCCCGCGAGUU
rnacentral:lncRNA from 1 species